GCCGCAGCUCCCGCUCCCGCUGUAAGAGGAGAGCUUUCCUCCCCGCGAGAGGCCUGGCUGCCAAAUUCCAGCCCAGCGCACAUUUUUACAGCAUGACACCAGCGGGGCCCCUGCAGGAGACGGCGCAGGAUCCCGGCAUCGGCCCGAGCGCCUGCCGCAGCAGCGGCGCGGGAGCCACGCACGGACUCGCUGAGUGCCCGCCGCGGCUCGUCCCCCGGGCACCGCUCCCCCCAACUGCAAACGUCCUUCUGCUUCCCCCAGCCUGCAGGGUGCACGGAGAUACCCUGACGCUGCCUGUCCCUCCCCGCUACCGUCCAUCCCCUUCCUUCCUUCCUCCCUGCUCCUUCUCCAGGCUUGCUUGCGCAAGCUGCUUUCUAGGGAGCUUGGGGACAGGUAGCCGAGAGUGACGGAGCCUGGGACAAGUCUGCGCUGGAAAGACGGCAGCCGCCGGCCGGCCGGCGUGGGACGGGCGCGAGGCUGCGGCUGGGAGCCCACCCGAGGCGAGCUCGGCGAGCGGAGCGCCGCGACCCGGCAGGUGCCCGGCGGGGUGCUCCGUACUUGUCAUUUACUUUUGGUGUCCACCCCUUCCCAGUUUUCCCUGACGACGUCUGCCCGGAAAGUCCACAGUUUCCCAAAGGAAGGUGAAAGCUUUCAAGGGUGUUGAUGCUUCUGUUGCCAAAAAAUAAUCCAACCAAAGCCAGAACACCUCAAUUUCAACAACAACAAAAAAAAGAUUAGUAUUUCAGUGUUUUAUUUCUCAAAAACAAAAAGCCCCAAACGCUGUCAAAAACUGAUACUUUCUUUCAGACACUUUAAGUAAAAUCAACCCAAGCAGAAUGUUCCCUUAGCAGAGCACCUCUGUGCUUUUAAAUUGCUGCAUUAAAUCUUCCCCCACUGAGGGCCCCGCAGCAGGGUCUCACUGCUCUCUGACGCUGAGGCUUGCUGAUUAUCUGCUUUUCCCUUCAAGGGAUGAUUUGAGAAGAGGCUGGUUUAAGGGCAAAGGCAGCAUCGGUGGAAGUAUCUGCUUUGUCGGGACGCGCUGGCUGAGCACACGGCACCCGCAGUGCUGGUGCACGGGCAGCGGGGACCUGGCGUGGUGGUGGGGGGGGAGGUUCAGCCUCACCAGUGUUGCCCGCGCACUGUUCGAAACAGGGAGCAAAGGGGACAGAGUAGGUCCGACAGAGCUGGUGCGGAUGUGCUGGGGAUGCCGUUACGCUUUGGCUGCUGAUCGCUGGUGCCAGGCUGUGCACUGACCUGUUAGUAGCAACCCGGCUGCAAAGCUGCAUCCAGACACACAGACGGUCGUGUGCCUGCAGCGGGACCCUGGCUGCUGGAGCUGUAGCUUCAGUAUCGUGCUCGUAGAGUGGGGAGAUGUGAUGCCCUGUGAGUGCAGGGGCAGAUGCCACAGUGAUGGGCACAAGGCAGCUGGGCCCCAGCAGCAACACCAGGGGCCAUGCUGUUGGCAAGAGUGAGGGUUGUGACUGAGUGCAAAAAGUAAAACU